rnacentral:lncRNA from 1 species
CUGCAUGCGGGAAUAUAAGGUUAAGCUUUCUUCACUAUGCGUGGUGCAGCCUGCAGUGCACCACAAAUAUUUCUCAGGUUUCAGCUCUGCCUCACCCUAAACUUUUCCCUAUUUAUAUUUCAUUUCUUCAUCUUAUGUAUGUAAAUUGUCUAUAUAUAUACAUAUAUAUGACUUCCUUUGAAGAAAUUAACGAGCCAUGAAUGAGAAAAUGGGCAUGAACCCUUUUCUCUCCCUUCUCUAAGCAAGCUUGUUUUCCAUAGCAUUUCCUUCUGAUCUUUGCACGUCGAUGUUUCUGAUCAUGUUAAGCUCUGGGGUUUCUACUAUGCAUCGGCUUUCUUGCACUGAUGAUCAAAAGAGGAUGGUUAAGCUUCUCUUUCGAUUUUAUAUGAUGGGUGGCUUUGAUAGCUGCCUUUCAGUGAAUGUAGAGCUUCACUCCCGGUGAGAAAAGGUAGCAUGGGAAUGGAGAUCAUCCAUGCAAAGGGGAAUCAAGCGUUCCUGGUCCGACCACAUUACUUAUCUGUUUUAUGUUUGUUCUUUGUUCUUUUUGGGGAUGAAUGGUUAAACAGGUUAGCCUGCAAUACUUAUUCAUGUGUUCAUCACCCUGGCUUUCUUAUUCUUUGUCAAAUUUACUUUAUUUUAGGAUUGAAGAACAUCGAUUAUUAGUAUACAAAGAAAAUGUUCUUGCAGUAUUGUAUGUGAGGUGAAUAAGCAGCUAGAUCCGAGUGAAAGAUAGAGCUGCUGUUUCAGGCAGAUGAAAUUUUUAGGAAUGUAAGAAAUGUGUGUGAGUGCUUCAUGUAAUAAAAGUUUCAUUUCUAUUUGCUCAAUGUUUUUCUUUGUGUGUGUUUGUAUUCUUCCUUCCCUGGCAAAUUUCCAUCAAAGUUCCUGCCAUUUCUGCAACUUAGAACUGUAGAUCUGGUGACAAUAUAGAGCCAAUUUUCUAUAUGGAUGUUUUCACCAUGAGAGGGCUUCCCUUGUUCCAGAUGUUGCUGAUCUUGCUGCAUAUAAUUAAUUUUCCCUUUUGUCUUCUUUUGCUUCUGAUGCAAUCAAUUCUGUCUUC